UACAGAGGGGGCAAGCGUUGUUCGGAAUUACUGGGCGUAAAGGGCGCGUAGGCGGCCUUCUAAGUCGAACGUGAAAUCCCCGGGCUCAACCCGGGAACUGCGUCCGAUACUGGAAGGCUUGAAUCCGGGAGAGGGAUGCGGAAUUCCAGGUGUAGCGGUGAAAUGCGUAGAUAUCUGGAGGAACACCGGUGGCGAAGGCGGCAUCCUGGACCGGUAUUGACGCUGAGGCGCGAAAGCGUGGGGAGCGAACAGG
rnacentral:rRNA from 1 species